UUGCACAUAUUCUCGCUGUUCUGAUUCUGUAAUAAUCAGGACAGGCUAAACAUUUGCUAUAUUAAGACCAUGCAUGUGUUCCCAGAUCUAGUUCUUGCCUUACGUCUGGUUUUAUAAAUACUGGUGAUAAGG
rnacentral:snoRNA from 12 species